rnacentral:rRNA from 1 species
CCCUUAGAUGUUCUGGGCUGCACGCGCGCUACACUGAAGCGUUCAACGAGUAUUCACCUUGCCCGGGAGGGUUGGGUAAUCUUUUCAAAACGCUUCGUGAUGGGGAUAGAUUAUUGCAAUUAUUAAUCUUCAACGAGGAAUUCCUAGUAAGCGCGAGUCAUCAGCUCGUGCUGAUUACGUCCCUGCCCUUUGUACACACCGCCCGUCGCUCCUACUGAUUGAGUGAUCCGGUGAAUAAUUCGGACUGCAGCAGGCCUGGUCUCCGGGUUUUGCAGCGGAAAGUUUAGUGAACCUUAUCACUUAGAGGAAGGAGAAGUCGUAACA